ACGGGAGGCAGCAGUAGGGAAUAUUGGACAAUGGGGGGAACCCUGAUGCGGCAACGCCACGUGUGGGAAGACGCAUUUCGGUGUGUAAACCACUGUCGUGAGGGAAUAAGGCUACUUUCCGGAGUAGUUGAAUGUACCUUGAAAGGAAGCACCGGCAAACUUCGUGCCAGCAGCCGCGGUAAUACGAGGGGUGCAAGCGUUGUUCGGAAUCACUGGGCGUAAAGGGAGCGCAGGCGGAGAUGCAAGCGGACUGUACAAUACCGGGGCCCAACCCCGGACCUGCAGUCCGGACUGCACCUCUUGGAUAGUUCAGGGGCAAGCGGAAUUCCUGGUGUAGCGGUGGAAUGCGUAGAGAUCAGGAAGAACACCGAUGGCGAAGGCAGCUUGCUGGGGACUAAUCGACGCUCAUGCUCGAAAGUGCGGGUAGCAAACAGGAUUAGAUACCCUGGUA
rnacentral:rRNA from 1 species